rnacentral:lncRNA from 1 species
UGUGUGGUCAUGGGGUGUGACUUUGGGGAUUGUCCUUUCCUCACUGGUGCUUUUUCCAACUAGCUCUGCUGCCUGGCCAUCAUGAACCAGGCAAGCAGCUUUGCUCUACCAUACCCUUCUACCAUGAUGGUUCUGCCUUGGAGCCAGCUGACCAUGGACUGAACCUUCUGAAACUGUGAGCCAGAUAACUCUCUUCUCCUUCAAGAUGUGUAUUUCAGGCAUUUGUCCUGGGAAAGCUAAUAAAGUAUAUUUAUGAUAAUCUUAUUAUAAUCUUUUAUUUUCCUUCAGACAGGACCUCAGCAUGCUGCCAAGCUUUCUACCUUAGAAAUCUAUGUUACAUUUCUGUGGUGCUAUGGAUUGAACUCAGGGUCUUGUGAACAGUAGGUAACAAGUGCUCAAACACUGAGCUACAUCCCUAGCCCUCUUUAUAAUCUUUUGCAUAUUCUCUUUUUUAAUCUGACAAAGGAGACACAAAAACUAUGACAUGUGUAUAGAAGUCAGUAAAAUUUUAUUUAAUGCAAUCACUCAAAAGUUGUGUCUUUGGUUUCUUCUUAUAGCAUGUAUAUUUCUUUCAUUUACACAGAGAUGGAAAUUUUAAGUUACUUAAAAUUGUUAUUUCUUAAAACCUUCCUAGAAUAUACUGAUUCACUCCAUUUCAUCUUUUCUACUUUCAGGAGGAUUAUUUCCCUCCCUCAGCAUCUUGUCUUUCUGUGGAGACCCUGGAAUACGAGCAUAUCCUUAGCAAUAACAGAAACCCUACACAAGGAAGCAGCCCAUAGCAAAGCUUCUGAAGACUGCAAGUAACUAUGAUUAAAGUAACGCCAACAGAGAUUCCAUGCACUAACAGCAUUUCAGGGCAGAGAAAAAGCCUCGCAGGAAAUGUGUCAACAGAGGAGAAAUGAGAAGCACAAAGGAAACUGGUACAUUUCCCUUUUCUUUUUGUUUUAAACUGGAAAACUCUAACUCCUUGGAGGAAGAUGAUACUGUAACUCAAGAGGGAAGCUAUAAACAGCCCAAGUAACAAAGAUGAAGUUCAAAACACUAUGAGAAUGGAAAACAUUCGUGAGCUCUCUAACUUUAGCAAAUGAGUUGGUGACAAGGCAGGAGGGGCCCUUGUAGCCCCUAAGGUGGAAAGAGUGAAUUUGUACAGAAAUCCCAGUGGCUCUCAACAUGGUGUACCCUGGCAACAGUCCCAGUAGGUGAGGCUCAUUAGUUAAGUAGGGACAUCCUUGCUGUUAGUGCAAGUUCCAAGGAUUCAAAUACCUCCAACAUAGUUAGAACACCUACGUCCCAACGGGAACUUAAGCAGAAUUGAAAAACCUUGACUUAAAAUCUUGAGCACAUUUUGUUUGAAAUGAUCAAACAUGCUAGUUUAGCUCCCUCCAAAAUGCUUUGAUUUUUAUUUUUAUCUUCAUUCAGCAAAUUGGAUUUUUAUUCUUUUCUUACACCCUAUCUAUCCACUCCCCCCCGCAAAAGGAACAAAAUAAAAAGAAAACUAAACACUGAAAAGUCAAAAGAAAAAUAAAAAAGGAAGCAAACAAAAGGAAUAAAGAAAUAAGAUAAAAUUAAGAAAACAGAA